rnacentral:rRNA from 1 species
GAGUUGACCUGCCCAGUGAAAGUUUUUUAACGGCCGCGGUACUCUGACCGUGCAAAGGUAGCAUAAUCAUUUGCCUUAUAAUUGAAGGCUAGUAUGAAUGGUUUGACGAAGGCAUUGCUGUCUCUAUUCUAAUUAAUAGAACUUAACAUCGGGGUGAAGAGGCCCGGGUAGAAUUGAAGGACAAGAAGACCCUGUCGAGCUUUAGAUGAAAGGUAGAUAUAAUUAUUAUAAAAAAUAAAAAUCUUCUAUACAUUUUUAGUUGGGGCGACUAGGGAACAUAUAAAGCUUCCCUUAAAAAAUAGACAUAUAAGUUAUGAUCCAGUAUUUACUGAUCGAAAGAAUUAGUUACCGCAGGGAUAACAGCAUAAUCUCUCUUGAGAGGCCUAAUCGAAAGAGGGGGUUGUGACCUCGAUGUUGGACUAGAAUAACCUAAAGGUGCAGAAGUCUUUAAGGGUUGGUCUGUUCGACCAUUAAAAUUCUACGUGAUCUGAGUUCAGACCGGA